CUUAAACCUGGAAUCAGUCUUCGAAGAUCAUAUCGUGUUGGAAAAGUAGGUAUCAUAUUCAACUGAGACAGAUUUGACCAUUUAGACUACAAUUCCCGGUGAGUUAACACCAGAGACGUUGUUGGCGCUUAAAGAUGACGUAAAUACCGGUAUAAGUAGCGCCCUCUUUCUUCGUCACAUCCUCUUUCGUUGCUCUUCUCGCUUUGGGGUAAGCAACAUCUCUUCUCUGGUAACUGAAUCCAAACUAAUCUUUAAGAUUUACAAAUCAUCCGCAGUCACUAAUAUUUGUAUUUGUUUCCUUGUUCACAGACCCUUCCCCACACGAUGAGAGCCAAGGUAAGUUAAUUAGACAGUUUCUGUAUUUUUGUGUUUUACAUCCUCUUCCUGUUCUGGUCAAUGCUGCUAGCUAACAUCUGAACAACAACUCCUUUCCCGCUUCACAUGCGUGUUUGUUUGAAGGAUUCUUCUGUCUUAUGUGUGUUAAGUAAUUCUAACAAUGCAAAUUAAGAAAAUUACAAUAUCAGAUAUGCGAGUGGUAUAAAUGCUCGUGGUGCAUACGGCCCACUUUGGUGCAUGCUAAUGUUAGCAAUUGUAACCUGCUAGCUAAGGUGGUCGGGCUUAUUUAGUUAAAGUCUAUUUCUGGUAGUUACUAACACAACUGAUGUUUUCAAUGCCAGUGUAGCUUUAAAUGUAUAUUACUAGUAGUAUUCCUGCUCCAUAAUAUGCAUGUGGUCUGUCACUUGGGUCAAUAAAUGGGAGGGCACACAUGGCAUGGUGGACUGCAGACACUUGACUAAUAAAUCUCCCUCUUGUUUUCUAGUGGAGGAAGAAGCGUAUGCGCAGGCUGAAGCGUAAAAGGAGAAAGAUGAGGCAGAGGUCCAAGUAAGCCCUCAUCCCCCCCCCCAGCUGUGAUCCCGUCAGCGCUUCUCCAGAGGACUGACACAGGAGACUGAAGUGGAUUGUGGAGCCUCAAUCGGUGGGAUAAAGGCCUCAAAACCUGAGUUCAGAUGACUGCACAGCUCAUGGAUCCAACUGUGACUGUUUGACUGGGUGAUGGCAGCAACGCUGGACAGAUCUCUCAACAUCAGAGCUGCAGCUGCUUCGUUCAUGGACCAUAUUACAUGCGUGCACAAAAACUGUCACAUGGUGUAUUGAACAAUAAAUGAACACUGUUAAAGUUCUCCAAGUUUGAGCCUCUUGAUUACAUUAUUCAGCUGAUGCAGUAUUAAUCUGUGGGUGUUUAUAAAUUUGCUUGACUUAAGUUGGUUGGUUCUGUAGCUAUGGAUUUGUUAGUAUUGUUUCAGUCUGUGCAGGAGUAAGAACCAAAUGUGAUCUCUAUUUAAAAUGAUGCAUAAAAUUACUCUGCAUUGAGUGUAUUUGCAACCAAAUGUUGAGUCCUGCUCCUAAAAUCAGACUAGAUCUAAAGGGAAGAUAUCCAAGCUACUCAGUCAGCAUAUGAAAAACUUUAGAGCAAGAGUGCAAAAUGGCUUGUUUCCCUUAAAGGACCAUCCUGGGGUAAGCUGGAAUUUAUCACUCAGGUGUCUGAUGGCAGCAGCACAUUGUUAGAUCAGCAUACUAUUUGCAUUAGGCAAAUAUGUUACUGCAGGUCACAGAGCACAUCCUGCUAAAUCUGCUCAGGAUAAUCUCAAGUUCACAAAAUCAAUGUGGAGCAACAUUAGGCCACCAUCAUACACUUUGACAAAAAUGAAGAUGGUGUUGAUGCAUAUUCCUCAAAGAGUAGCAAAACCUCAUGUCUCGUGCAGAGAGGGUUAAUGUUGACGCCCAACAUAAAUUUAUUAAAGGCCACAAUCAUCACUACUCAGAGAUACGUAAUUGCUAAAUGACAAAAGCGAGCACAUUCAAACUCAAAUAAGCACUUCACUAUUCAAUUUUGGUUGUCGAAGCAGACGUGUCAAUUCCAGUAUGUGUUACUUCAUUGAAGCAAUUACAUAAUUUGUGCUGACUGAAUUUUUCAUACCAACCUGUGACAAUACUGCUUGUUUUGUUGUAAUGUGCCAUACAAACAAACCUGCCUUGCCUUAUGAUGAAUUCAAAUCACUAGUAGAGCAUCUGUCAAUUUAUGGAGUCCAAACCAAAUCCUACUGCUUUAACCUUCUCUGAGUAAAUUAGGGCACAUUCUAUUUUAGCACCGGCACUUGUGGACACCAACACCAUGCAGCUGUUACUGACAGCAUGAAGUGGAAGAUCCUUUAUUUCAGGAAACGAACCAAUACAUUUCUGUAAAAAAAAAAGCAUUCCAUGCAUUCACAAUCCCACCAGUUUGACUAUAUACAAAAUUAUAUUAGAAAAAUUGAUUUACCAAGUAAACAUACUGCUUCCGCAAUAAAAA
ensembl:lncRNA